CCUACGGGAGGCAGCAGUGAGGAAUAUUGGUCAAUGGCCGGAAGGCUGAACCAGCCAUGCCGCGUGAAGGUCAGUGCCCUAUGGGCGUUAAACUUCUUUUGUGCGGGAGCAAUAAUGGUCACGUGUGGCCAGACGAGAGGACCGUACGAAUAAGCAUCGGCUAACUCCGUGCCAGCCGCCGCGGUAAUACGGGGGAUGCAAGCGUUAUCCGGAUUUAUUGGGUUUAAAGGGUGCGUAGGCUGUGAGGUAAGUCAGCGGUGAAAUGCCCCCGGUCAACGGGGUGAAGUGCCAUUGAUACUGCCUUGCUGGAAUGCGGAUGCCGUGGGAGGAAUGUGUGGUGUAGCGGUGAAAUGCAUAGAGAUCACACAGAACACCGAUUGCGAAGGCAUCUCACGAAGCCGCGAUUGACGCUGAUGCACGAAAGCGUGGGUAUCAAACAGGAUUAGAUACCCGGGUAGCC
rnacentral:rRNA from 1 species